UUUUUUUUUUUUUUGCUUCUUGAGGCCGUACCCACGGCAUAUGGAAGUUCCCAGGCUAGAGGUGGUAUUGGAACUAGCUGCCAGACUAUGCCACAGGCACAGCAAUGCAGGAUCCAAGCCACGAUUGUGACCUACACCACAGCUCAAGGCAAUGCCAGAUCCUUAACCCACUGAGCGAGGACUGGUAUUGAACCGCCAUCCUCAUGGAUAUUAGUUGGAUUCAUUUCUGCUGUGCCANUUCUACUGUACAGCAAGGUGACCCAGUUAUACAUAGAUGUAUACAUUCUUUUUUCUCACAGUAUCAUACUCCAUCAUAAGUGACUAGAAAUAGUUCCCAGUGCUAUAUAGCAGGAUCUCAUUGCUUAUCCAUUCCAAAGGCAAUAGUUUGCAUCUAUUAACCCUAAAUUCCCAGUCCAUCCCAUUCCCUCCCCCUCCCCCUUGGCAACUACAAGUCUGUUCUCCAUGUCCAUGAUUUUCUUUUCUGUGGAAAGGUUAAUUUGUGCUGUAUAUUAGAUUCCAGAUGGAAGUGAUGUUAUAUGGUAUAUGGUAAAGUAGAGUAAAGUAAGGUAGAGUAAUGUAAAGUAAAGUAGAGUAUGGUAGAGUAAAGUGAAGUAAGGUAAAGUGAAGUGGAGUAGAGUAAAGUAAAGUAGAGUAGAGUAGAGUAAGGUGAAGUAAAGUAGAGUGAAGUAGAGUGUGGUAAAGUAGAGUAGAGUAAAGUAAAGUAGAGUAAAGUAAGGUAGAGUAAUGUAAAGUAAAGUAGAGUAUGGUAGAGUAAAAUAGAGUAUGGUAGAGUAACGUAAAAAUGCUUUGUUGAAACCCUUCAGGGAGUUGAGGGUUUUAGUGCACAAGCCACCCAUUCUCCUUGUAUUCGUGCCUUUACAAUAAACACUGCACUUUCCUUCACACAACCUGCUUUCAGCAGAUUGGCUUUACUGCCCAUACACAGGCAAGCGGGCCCAAGUUUGGUUCUGUAACAACCCCACUCCUGGAAACAAAGGAAUUCCCUAACUAGAGUAAAUGACUGUCAGGGUGGAGGGGGGAAGGUUGGGAAACUGGAAAAGGAGAAGGAUGAGAACCUUAGGUAUUUGUAUUUUCUGGGGUACUAGGUAAUGUCACAGUACCUGUCAUGGUGAACAGAUGGAGCUUGAGUGCUUUCCAUUUGUCACCUCACUGGACAGCCCUGCAACAAGAGUAUUAAUUAACAUUACUGUGUCGUAAUCCCCAGAAAAAGGUGUUUCUCAUCAGUUGGGGAUAGCAGGUGACAUUUUUUAUGCCAUGGCUCCUUUUGACAAUCGUGGGAAGAUAGCAGGUGACAUUUUUUAUGCCAUGGCUCCUUUUGACAAUCGUGGGAAGUCUACAAACAUCAUCUUAGAAUUAGGUUUUGAAAUGCAUGAAAUAAAGGAAACCAACUGUACUGCAUCACACUUCUAUCCAUGGACUCCAUGGGCCAUGUGAAGGAUUUCUGGUAGAAACUGGGCUGUUUCCACACAAAGCAAGUGUGAGAACUAGAAAGGCCAUAUGCUACAGAGUCACCCUGCUCUGCAGGCUUGUACUUGAUGGAUAGAAGAGACAGAAAGAGUGAAUGAGAGAACUCCAUGAGCUGAUUAGCUGGGGUGAUGUGCAUUUGACCUCCAAGGGCCAAAGACCAAGGCAGGUAGAAUGGCUACUGUUAGUCUUGUCCUGAGGAAGCAUUUGCACGUUCUCUCUCAUGGCUGAAGGCCUUUGUAGAAGGACUGCACCACAGGCACAGGCUGGGAUCACACCAGGCUCUAAACAAGCAGGUACCAGAGAUGGACUGAAGUGUCCAUUCCAGGUCAUCAGCGAGGAACUCAGAAGAAAGGCGUGAGGGUCCCUGUUUCAGGAGCAACACCUGGUGGCAGCAACAAGCAGAAGUGGCUCACUGAGCAAGCAAUACCAAGAAGGACUCACAUCUAGAAUUGAGAAAGCAUCCCCACCCCCAGGGUCCUUAAGGAACUGCAAAGGGAGAGCCUUCUACCAGUCAGGCUCCCAGCAGGAAACCAGGAGCCCUUCAAGGGGGACGAAUUCAGGCACUGUCUACAAAGAUGGAGGUGUGUUUAAGGGAAACGGAGAAAGGUCAAGUAGCCUAGAUCAGCUGGGGACAUUUACCUUCACCACCUUGAGAGGGGCGAGGGAAGGCAGCUGUGAUCGGAAUCCAGAGAGAUGAACAGGAAAAAAAUAUCCUAGCCUCACUUCCCUCCACCCUGCAAAGUUCCCUGAGGCUUCCCAGCGGUGGAACCCAACCCAACUCCCAAGUCCUUCAAGGGCAUAACUGACAGCCC
rnacentral:lncRNA from 1 species